UUUUCUGAAAAAAAGUAAGACUUUCUCAGUUAUCUAUGAAUUAAAGAUAAUUCUAUUUUAAAAGCCCUGUUACUUCCGGUUAAAUACAGUGUAUUCAAUCCAAGCAAUUAUCUCAGCUUUCUCAAGAUGCAUCAAAUUCAUCAGCUCUCACAUCUUACCUAGUAACAUUUGCUGACUAUAAAAUGGAGACCUAUUCAUCUAUGUAUCCUGGGAUCUGGCAUCCACAUUUAACCAUUUUGUUCUUUUCAUUUCUGUAGAGCAUCUGGACAUUCUGCUAAAGGAACUGGUGAGUUACAAACGUAAAACAGAGAACUGGAAAAGUGCUGUGUUGGUUAAAUUUAGAGAAAAUGAACCCUUACAUUGGCCAAAAAAAUUAAACUAGGUAAUCCAUUUUUUAGAAAGCAGCUAGGGUCUCACAGGAAAAGAAGCUCAUGGGCCGGCUUAUGAGUUUCUUCUUAACUGUUUAGAAAGUGAAAGCCCUUUGGCAUUUGCAAAGCGCUUUUCCAAACACGUUGGAAUGAAUAGGUGUAAAUUUAGGAGCCUAGGUACGCCAAGUGAGAAAAUCCAGAGAAGGUUUUCAGCAUUGUUUUUUCUGUCCCUCCACCUUAGACACAAAUCAGGGGGAACAUUUUCUUUCCUGAAAUCCAUUAAGCACAGUAUCACUCAGCCAGGAGGCUGGGCUCCUGGAAGUUUUAGCAGAAGGUUCCAUCCAGGUUUAACACUAGGAUUAAGCUGUGACCUCACCUCCGUGGUAAAUUUAGUAACAGUUUCUAGAGCUCCAGCACCCAGUAGAGCCAAACUUGUCCCUGAGGGAAGCAGGAGCUCAUUGAUGAGUUGAUCCAAAGUUUGUUCAAAAUAAAAAUGAGUAUGUGGUGAAUACCUUCGUCUUAGCGCUUCUAAAUAUUGACAAUUACUAAUUUCUGCAGGAUACAGAGUGGCCAGAAGGAUUUCCUUUUAUGGUUUGAGUAAGGAGGCUCUUUCUUACAGCUGUAGUCGUGGCCGAGUGGUUAAGGCGAUGGACUAGAAAUCCAUUGGGGUCUCCCCGCGCAGGUUCGAGUCCUGCCGACUACGACCGAGGUUUUAUUAUCCAAUAUCCUAGGCCUUAGGUUACUAUGAAACUGGCACAGACCAGCGUUUACCAUUCUCCCUUCUCUAACCCUACUGUGACGGCACACAUAUUCUUCUGUUAAUACCACCGCGCGCUCCCGCGUACUGCCCAAAGAAAAUGAAGUGCCUCAAGCAGUUUGCUCUGCUAGACUUGUAGAACUCCUGCUUCCUCAGCAAGGUGCAAUGCCUGAGCGUCUGUGGUUUUCUCUCCUCCAAAUCCUGCUCAAAGUGUUUUUCCACUCUCACAACGUUGGAUAUUUCUCUAGAGAAGGCUACUUCUCAUCUUUCUGUCUUCUUGACAAGAAGUUAUAAGCCUUGGAAACUACUAUUUGUGUCUUCCAAUCAUUGUGAAGUCUAUAUAAACACUUUUGUCCACAUGAUGGAGGAAGUAGGAAGCGCUGAUAAAACAAUCUGCUCUGGGGUCUCUAUUCAGGAGAAUUGAGAAAUAUCAGGAAAAAUAUCUCCGAAUUCUGCAAAUGGAAGUGGAUCGCCAAGGCAGAUACAAAGGGAAGCCAUCAGUGAUUGCAGAGUUGAUCUAUCAGGAUACAGGCCAUGUAGAAAUAAUCCUAAAGGCACAGAUAGUGUCUAUGAUCAAAUAACAGAGAAUGUCAGUGGAAGAUGAAACACCUAUAAAUUCUGGUGAUUGUACCACAUAGGCAUUAUAAAGCCUCAUUCUCACUGAGCCAAAAGAUAUAUCCAUGAGGAUCUUUCUUCUUCCUCAGAUCUGUUGGAUCCUUUCUCUCCUACAUGAAGUGAGUUCACUACAUUUUAUAAAGCAAUAAAUCGAUGAAAAAGUUCAACUCAACUCAAAAUUAUUAUGGGUAUCAGAAUAUCUGUUGGAGGGGCGGGGCGGGGAAUAGAGUGGAGGAAGUGAGAAGAAUGAUAUGGCAGGGAGUUAGUGGAACCCUCACACCGCCUGAGUCACACUGAGUUCACGUGAACCGGAGAUUCCCUAACAAUCAUCACUAAAAGAGCAAUUUAUUCUAAAAAGAAAAUAAUAAUGACAUAGGUUCCACCGAGAUUUGAACUCGGAUCGCUGGAUUCAGAGUCCAGAGUGCUAACCAUUACACCAUGGAACCAUGCAACAAAAAACGCUUGUUAGCAUUUCUUCCUGAUGGAAUAUAUUCCCAUUUGUGAACUUGUGUUGUUUUCCUUUCUAGAUGCUAAAUUUGCAGAUUGCUUUUCCUUAGCUGCUUCCGUGGCACACGUUCCUCUUCUCUCGCGCACAGGGCUCUUGUACAAAAACCCAAGAGCAAACUGGUUUCCAGAGACAGAUAAGGAACACUUUCGGAAGUUUAAUUCUGUGACAUGUAUAUUGUGGAUGACUUCAUCUGAGCCGGCAAGCCAACCAGUCCUGGCUGUGGCG